CCAAUAGCGUAUAUUAAAGUUGUUGCAGUUAAAAAGCUCGUAGUUGAAUUUCGGGACCAAUCUGCCGGUCGUGCCUCCGGUACGCACUGGUUUUAUUGGUUUCUCCCUUCUGACGAACCAUGAUGUCAUUAAUUUGGUGUCAUGGGGAAUCAGGACUGUUACUUUGAAAAAAUUAGAGUGUUUAUAGCAGUCUCACGCUUUACUACAUUAGCAUGGAAUAAUGAAAUAGGACGUUUGUCCCUGUUUUGUUGGUUUCUAGGAUCGACGUAAUGAUUAAUAGGGAUAGUUGGGGGCAUUAGUAUUCAAUUGUCAGAGGUGAAAUUCUUGGAUUUAUUGAAGACUAACUACUGCGAAAGCAUUUGCCAAGGAUGUUUUCAUUAAUCAAGAACGAAAGUUAGGGGAUCGAAGACGAUCAGAUACCGUCGUAGUCUUAACCAUAAACUAUGCCGACUAGGGAUCGGAUGAUGUUAAUUUUUUAAUGACUCAUUCGGCGCCUUACG
rnacentral:misc_RNA from 1 species